GAUGAACGCUGGCGGCGUGCCUAAUACAUGCAAGUCGAGCGAACGGACGAGAAGCUUGCUUUUCUGAUGUUAGCGGCGGACGGGUGAGUAACACGUGGAUAACCUACCUAUAAGACUGGGAUAACUUCGGGAAACCGGAGCUAAUACCGGAUAAUAUUUUGAACCGCAUGGUUCAAAAGUGAAAGACGGUCUUGCUGUCACUUAUAGAUGGAUCCGCGCUGCAUUAGCUAGUUGGUAAGGUAACGGCUUACCAAGGCAACGAUGCAUAGCCGACCUGAGAGGGUGAUCGGCCACACUGGAACUGAGACACGGUCCAGACUCCUACGGGAGGCAGCAGUAGGGAAUCUUCCGCAAUGGGCGAAAGCCUGACGGAGCAACGCCGCGUGAGUGAUGAAGGUCUUCGGAUCGUAAAACUCUGUGAUUAGGGAAGAACAUAUGUGUAAGUAACUGUGCACAUCUUGACGGUACCUAAUCAGAAAGCCACGGCUAACUACGUG
rnacentral:rRNA from 1 species